AUUGAACGCUGGCGGCAGGCCUAACACAUGCAAGUCGAGCGGAUGAAGGGAGCUUGCUCCUGGAUUCAGCGGCGGACGGGUGAGUAAUGCCUAGGAAUCUGCCUGGUAGUGGGGGAUAACGUCCGGAAACGGGCGCUAAUACCGCAUACGUCCUGAGGGAGAAAGUGGGGGAUCUUCGGACCUCACGCUAUCAGAUGAGCCUAGGUCGGAUUAGCUAGUUGGUGGGGUAAAGGCCUACCAAGGCGACGAUCCGUAACUGGUCUGAGAGGAUGAUCAGUCACACUGAAACUGAGACACGGUCCAGACUCCUACGGGAGGCAGCAGUGGAGAAUAUUGGACAAUGGGCGAAAGCCUGCUCCCGCCAUGCCGCGUGUGAAGAAGGUCUUCGGAUUGUAAAGCACUUUAAGUUGGGAGGAAGGGCAGUAAGUUAAUACCUUGCUGUUUUGACGUUACCAACAGAAUAAGCACCGGCUAACUUCGUG
rnacentral:rRNA from 1 species